UCUGCUCAUGGUUGCUGUUCCUGUGGGACCGGAAACACCCGGUCCGACCGCGAGGUCACGGGCCAGCAGGCCUUAACACAUCAAGCCAUGUGUAACUUCCUCGACCAUAACAGAGUCAAACUAUCACCGCAAGUUCAUCAUCACUUCUUAAUUCAACGCAGAAGAAAUUUAUUACAACUUCAACACCAUCGACUCAAGGAACCAUCAAGACUUUCUCCUGAGACUGCAUCUGGCUCUCUCUUUCUCAACAGCCAAGGCAUUGCAAGUAUUUUUCCACCUGUUGUUAUGGAGUGAUUGAAGUCACUGCAAAAUGGGCCGGUGGAAGAAGUUGGAGAGAGUAAAAUGUUUGGAAUUGAGCAUACAUCCAAAUUCUGUUCACUAUCAUCUCCACUGUUGUUGUAACCGCACCAGAAAGCCAGCUGACCAACCUCCCAUCUGUAUGCAGACUCGUCUCCGUUGCGAAUGAGGCAUUAGUGUCAUCUGCAAACUUCAGGAUCUUGACAGUGGGGUCUUUUGCAGUGCAGUCAUUCAUGUACAGGGAGAAGAGCAGUGGAGAGAGAACGCAUCCCUGAGGAGCACCAGUGCUAAUAGUGAGGGUCCCGGAUGUGAGUUUCCCCAGUCUCACUAGCUGCUGCCUAUCUGUCAGAAAGCUGGUGAUCCAUCAACAGAUUGUGGUGGGCAUGGAGAGCUGGGUCAGUUUGGUUGAGAGAAGAUCAGGCAUGAUGGUGCUAAAGGCUGAACUGAAGUCCACAAAUAGGAUCCUUGCAUAAGUCUGUCGAGGUGUUGCAGGAUAUAAUGCAGUCCCAUAUUGACAGCAUCAUCCACAGAUCAACUGACACAAACUGAAGGGUGUCCAGCAGGGGUCCAGUGAUGUCCUUCAGGUAGGCCAAAACCAGUCGCUCAAACGACUUCAUGACCACAGUCGUGAAAGCGACAGGUCUGUAGUCAUUAAGUCCUGUGAUUUUUGGUUAUUUGAGGACUGGAAUGAUGGUGGAGUGUUUAAAGCAGCAGGGAACUUCACACUGCUACAAUGAUCUAUUGAAGAUCUGUGUGAAGAUGGGGGCCAGUUGGUCAGUGCACGCUUUCAGACAGGCAGGUGAAACACUAUCUGGGCCUGAAGCUUUCAUAGUCUUUUGUUUCCAAAAGACCCAGCAUACAUCCUCCUCACAGAUCAUAAGUGCAGAUUGAGUAGCAGGAGGGGGAGGAGGGGGGUUUUUGCACUCAGGACCAUUACGACAAUUUUCUUAAUCGGGAGCAUCUUCUGGUUUAAUGUUCUAUUUGUGUUUCAAGUUACAAGCGUAACAAUUCUGUAUUUAAUCUGUUUACAGCUUAUAAACACUUAACACUUUUUUUUCUCAGGGCUUUUACUUGAUAUUAAUUUUAUAUUUGAGUUCAAUAAUGUGUUGUAUUCUACUCGAGAACUUUCUGAUCUGCACAAUGUUUUGACUGUAUGUUUGACAGCGGUGUACAGCAAUGAUCAUAUUUCAUAAAUUAUGGAACAGAACACUUCUAAUUUGGCAGCAAAUUAAAAAGCACCUGUUAAAAGUUGAUUAUAUUUCUUAUGUGCAUUGUAAAGUCUUCAAAACGACAGCACGGAACGUCAAAAAGUAUACCAAAUAUGUAUUUAUUAUUAUUUAAGCGACUCAAACAUACAGUAUUUUCCUCAUUUAUUUUCUCCCUCCAAUGCAGGCAACAUGUAUAAUAAAUAAAAUGUGCCAAAAUUUCAACAUGCUCACAUACUUUUAACUCGUUUUAAUGCUACAAUAAUUUAAUAAAUAAUCCACGAAUUACAUCGCUUACAUUGCCAUUGUUUACUUAUGAAUGUAUUAUUAGCAUUUUGGCUGUGCACUAACAGAACAAUGCAGACACACCAAAUGCCAAAUACCUAUGCCAUAGGUUCGACGCAGAAGUAUGAAUUAGCAUUUAGACUUUCGGACCUCACUGUAUGUUUGCUCAAUAUCCUUUUGGGUAAUUUAUGUCCACCUUUACACAUCUUUAAAGACUGCUAUGCUAAAGUUAUCUCUCUAAAGAACUCUUAAAACAUAAUCCAACAUGUUAUAGUUCAGUGGGCAGGAAGACAAGAACAUUUGCUGAACAAGUACUCAAAUUUCAUUAGCACUCAAUUUACACAAAAGCUGAUGAGUGUACUUUCAAAUGUAAACAUUAUUUCUUAUAUCCCAGCUUAAUAUGCAUUAAGUAAGCCAUUAAUUGGCUGAUUUAACCUUAAAGUGUGACAAUGUGGCUCUGUGGCACUAUCAAAACAUUCCUGUUUGUUUGGGCAUACCGACCAGCAUGACCAACAUGAUCACAAAGGAAGUCGACAUGUUGUUUCCAAAAGUUCCAGAACCCUAGGAUCGGCCUCAUUAUGCCGACUCAACAAACACCAUCUCCCAUCAGACAUAUUUGCAUCGACUCAAGCUUGUUUACCUUCCCUUGUGGUGCCACCCGAAGCACGUUGCAUCAGCAGCAUGGGAGACCCGGGUUUGGAUCAUGUGUUUAAUCCAGGAUGUAAUCAUGUUCGAAUAAUCAGGGAAGAGCACGACUGGGAAGUUAAUUCUCCCCUAACAUUUCAUCUUUACUCCAGUGAUGGU